CAAUAGCGUAUAUUUAAGUUGCUGCAGUUAAAAAGCUCGUAGUUGGAUUUCGGGUGGGAAUGGCCGGUCCGCCGUUUCGGUGUGCACUUGCUACGCCCACCUUGCUGCCGGGGACGUGCUCUUGAGUUCACGCUCGGGACACGGAGUCGGCGAGGUUACUUUGAGUAAAUUAGAGUGUUCAAAGCAGGCCUACGCUCUGAAUACAUUAGCAUGGAAUAACACGAUAGGACUCUGGCCUAUCUUGUUGGUCUGUAGGACCGGAGUAAUGAUUAAGAGGGACAGUCGGGGGCAUUCGUAUUUCAUUGUCAGAGGUGAAAUUCUUGGAUUUGUGAAAGACGAACUACUGCGAAAGCAUUUGCCAAGGAUGUUUUCAUUAA
rnacentral:rRNA from 1 species